rnacentral:rRNA from 1 species
CCUGGUUGGUCCUGCCAGUAGCAUAUGCUUGUCUCAAAGAUUAAGCCAUGCAUAUGUAAGUACACAUGGCCGGUACAGUGAAACUGCGAAUGGCUCAUUAAAUCAGUUAUGGUUCCUUUGAUCGCUCCAUCUAUUACUUUAACUGUGAUAAUUCUAGAGCUAAUACAUGCCGAUGAGCGCGGACCUCCCGGGAUGCGUGCAUUUAUCAGACCAAGACCAAUCCGGGCUGAUCGCACAUCCCUGUGAGGGGACAAUCAUUUGGAUGUCUGCCCUAUCACUUUCGAUGGUACUUUCUGUGCCUACCAUGGUGACCACGGGUAUUCGGGAAGCAGGGUUCAAUUUUGGAGGGGGAGCUUGAGAAACAGUUGCCACAUCCAAGGAAGGCAGCAGGCACGCAAAUUACCCACUCCCGACUCCGGGAGGUAGUGACGAAAAGAUAACAAUACAGGACUCUUUCGAGGCACUGUAAUUGGAAUGUGUACACUUUAAACCCUUUAACGAGUACCCAUUGGAGGGCAAGUCUGGUGCCAGCAGCCGCUGUAAUUCCAGCUCCAAUAGCCUAUAUUCAAGUUGCUGCAGUUAAAAAGCUCGUAGUUGGUUCUUGGGUUCGAGCUGGCGGUCUGCUGCGAGGCGAGCUACCGCCUGUCCUGGGCCCUGCCUCUUGGCGACUCCUUAAUGCUCUUGACUGAGUGUCCUCGUGGUCCGAAGCGUUUACUUUGAAAACAUUUGUGUUCAAAGCAGGCCGGUCGCCUGAAUACUUCAGCUAGGAAUAAUGCAAUAGGACUCUGGUUCUAUUUUGUUGGUUUUCAGAACUGGGCCCAUGAUUAAGAGGGACGGCCGGGGACGUUCGUAUUGUGCUGCUACAGGUGAAAUUCUUGGACCUGUGCAAGACGUGCCAAAGCGAAAGCAUUAACCAAGAAUGGUUUCAUUAAUCAAGAAUGAAAGUCUGAGGUUCGAAGACAAUCCAAUACAGUCGUAGUUCCAACCAUAAACUAUGCCGGCUAGCGAUCUGGCAGCGUUAUUUCCAUGACCCGCCGAGCAGCUUCCGAGAAACGAAAGUCUUUGGGCCCUGGGGGAGAGUAUGGUUGCAAAGCUGAAACUUAAAGGAAUUGAUGGAAGGGCACCACCAGGAGUGGAGCCUGCGGCUUAACCGGAAACCUUACCCGGCCCGGACACAGAAAGGAUUGACAGAUUGAUAGCUCUUUGUCUCGAUUCUGUGGCUGUAUGGCCGUUCUUAGUUGGUGGAGCGAUUUGUCUGGUAAAUUCCGAUAACGAACGAGACUCCUCCAUGCUAACUAGCUACGCAUUCCCCUUCCUCCCCCGCAGCAGUUGGCGUUAAACUUCUUUGUGGGACAAGUGGUGUUCAACAACAUGAGAUCGAGCAAUAAUAGGUCUUGGAUGCCCUUAGAUGUCCAGGGCUGCACGUGCGCUACGCUGAAUGGAUCAGCAUGUCUUCCCUUUCACUGACAGGUGUGGCUAACCCACUGAACCCUGUUCGUGAUGGGGAUUGGGGAUUGCAAUUAUUUCCCAUGAACGAGGAAUUCCAAGUAAGUGCGGGGUCAUAAGCCUGCGUUGAUUAAGUCCCUGCCCUUUGUACACACUGCUGGUCGCUGCUACCGAUUGAAUGAUCUAUCUAGAGGAUGGAUAGAUGGAUUGGAUGAAAUGGAUAGAGUAGAUGGAACGAAUGAAAUGGAUAGAGUGGAUGAAAUGGAUGGAACGGAC